rnacentral:rRNA from 1 species
CACGGAGUUAGCCGGGGCUUAUUCUCCCGGUACAGUCAUUAUCUUCCCGGGUAAAAGAGCUUUACAACCCUAAGGCCUUCAUCACUCACGCGGCAUUGCUGGAUCAGGCUUUCGCCCAUUGUCCAAUAUUCCCCACUGCUGCCUCCCGUAGGAGUCUGGGCCGUGUCUCAGUCCCAGUGUGGCUGAUCAUCCUCUCAGACCAGCUAAGGAUCGUCGCCUUGGUAGGCCUUUACCCCACCAACUAGCUAAUCCUACGCGGGCUCAUCCCUAGGCGAUAAAUCUUUGAUCUCGCGAUAUCAUACGGUAUUAGCAGCAGUUUCCCGCUGUUAUCCCGUACCUAAGGGCAGAUUCCCACGCGUUACGCACCCGUGCGCCACUAGAGCCCGAAAGCUCUCGUUCGACUUGCAUGUGUUAGGCAUGCCGCCAGCGUUCGUUCUGAGCCAGGAUCAAACUCU